CCUACGGGUGACAGCAGUGAGGAAUAUUGGUCAAUGGACGAGAGUCUGAACCAGCCAAGUAGCGUGAAGGAUGACUGCCCUAUGGGUUGUAAACUUCUUUUAUAUGGGAAUAAAAUGUUCCACGUGUGGGAUUUUGUAUGUACCAUAUGAAUAAGGAUCGGCUAACUCCGUGCCAGCAGCCGCGGUAAUACGGAGGAUCCGAGCGUUAUCCGGAUUUAUUGGGUUUAAAGGGAGCGUAGGUGGAUUGUUAAGUCAGUUGUGAAAGUUUGCGGCUCAACCGUAAAAUUGCAGUUGAAACGGGCAGUCUUGAGUACAGUAGAGGUGGGCGGAAUUCGUGGUGUAGCGGUGAAAUGCUUAGAUAUCACGAAGAACUCCGAUUGCGAAGGCAGUUCACUGGACUGCAACUGACACUGAGGCUCGAAAGUGUGGGUAUCAAACAGGAUUAGAUACCCCUGUAGUC
rnacentral:rRNA from 1 species